GCUGAGAGUCGGUGCGCUGGACUCGGGAGAGCCGCGGCCCGCCCACCGGGUCACAUGGCUCCGAGCCGAGCCGAGGAUCAAAGGGGCUUUGUGGCCGCGGAACAAGGAGCCUCCCAGAGCGAGGGGCAGAGAGUGCAAUGGGAUCUUCGACACUGCUCGGAGUUGGAACCAGCACUACAUCAGGGGCUGCAGCCCACGUGGCCAGAAUGUUGAGGUGGCAGGAGGAUCAGGAAUGCAAAGCCAAAGUGCAAGGGAGUCUGAUCACAGCCCAGGAGGUGGCCAAGAGAGGCAGAGGUGGAGAUUAGCAAUACAGCCACACGUCAAGGGACUCCAGCAGUCACCAGAGCCGGAAGAGGCUGGGGACAGACUUCCCAGCACCCCUUGCACCCGCCCUGCUGACAUACUGGCUUCAGCCCAGGAGUCUGAACUGACUUUGGACCUUCAGACCCCUAGGAUGUGUGCUGCGCUGUGGAAAGCAGCCACGGAAGGUAGCAUGUCCCCCUCGGGCCCACGGGAACGUACAGGUUCUGGGCACACACGAAGCCACUGGCACCCAGGCGGGAGCAGGGUGGCAAGGCCAUGUAGCCAGUGAGGGGAGGGAUCCUGGCUUGUCAAGCUGCUGUCACCCUUAGCGUGCCGGUGACCUGACCCACAUACCAAGACUUGCCCCAAGGUGGAGGAAGUCCCCCUCACCCCCAUUUACUGGACCCUCCUCCUUGUGUGACAGAUGACA